rnacentral:rRNA from 1 species
UACGUAGGGGGCAGGCGUUGUCCGGAAUUAUUGGGCGUAAAGCGCGUGUAGGCGGUCCGGUAAGUCGGUUGUGAAAGUCCAGGGCUCAACCCUGGGAUGCCGACCGAUACUGUCGGACUAGAGUUCGGAAGAGGCGAGUGGAAUUCCCGGUGUAGCGGUGAAAUGCGCAGAUAUCGGGAGGAACACCAAUGGCGAAGGCAGCUCGCUGGGACGUUACUGACGCUGAGACGCGAAAGCGUGGGGAGCAAACAGG